CUAAUUCUGUACAUUGUCCCACUACAAGAGGAGCUAGAUGCAAGCCCCCUCCCCCACAAUGCUCCAGAAUUUUCCAAAAUGCCAAAGUCCUUUACAGUUCCUGGCUCUGCACAUCAGAUCUUCUAAUGGCGAAACUAGCAGUGAUGAGCCUGAAAUUGUCAGUACUGAAGAGAAAGAAGUCAAUACUACAGAAGUAUGCCCAAUAUGUGAAAACCAAUUUCCCAGAGAGGACAUUGCAUAC